UUUAACUCAGCAUUUCCUAAACUUAAUUGCCAAUGUAACUGUACUUUUUUAAAGAAACACAAUAAAUAUCUCUUCUUCCAAAUUUCCUUAAUAAUGAAGCCUGCUUUCCUGUUUUUAUUUGUUUGUUUGUUUCUGUCUCCUUCCUCCAGGGCAUCCCCAUUUAAUGCUGCUUCUGCAAGACGGCAGCCUCAAACACAACUUUCUAAAUCGACCACAAGGUGGCUCUGCUUGUCUUACAAAAGAAGGCUGUGGGCUCUUUCCUAACGUCUGGCUUGCAGGGCCUUUAAAGAGGAGGGCUUGAGUCUUGUGCCAGACAGGGUAGCCAGGUGUAGGGAAGGCUGGGGUGUUACCUGUGUACACGGGUUAAGUUAGAACUGUUGUCGUCUGACCCAGAUGGUGGAGUUUUCAAAAGAAUGUUGUAAGAAGUGGGGUUUUCUGGCUGUCCCUUCCAUGUUUCCAUUUUGAGGAUACGUUUCCGUGGAGUUCAGGAAACUGGACACCUUUCUUCCAGGUCUUUGAGAACAAAAAGAUGUUGAAGCAGGAAGCCAGAGCUGUUGGCACUGAGCUCUUUAGUGUCCUAAUCUCCAGCUUGGCCCUCAGUGCUGAUGAAUUCAUUCUAAUUAGCAGCAGCAGGAGCAAUUCAGUAGUGCUCCUAGCCUGACUGCACCGUUUCCGAAGAAUUGCUUUUUGCAGGCGUAUGCACUUUUAAUGAACGGGGAAAAAUAAUCGUUGUCCUCAAGGCCAAGAAAGGGAUAUUUCUCACUGCACUGAAAGAGCUUAUAAGGAUUGCACUGCAUCUCUUGAUCAACGAUUUUUUAAAAUGUCCACUGGGGAAAAAAAGAGCAUUGUCAACAACCUCUAUUCCCUUUUUCAACACUGCACAUGAAAAUUCUACUUGCUCCCAUGCUGGAAGAAUAUUUAGUAACUCCAUGUAAAAGAAUGGAAUUCUUUAGGGAUGAAACCAUUUCAGAAGAUAGUCAUGGACAUUGAAUGUAAUGGAGAUUGAGAUAAGAAGAAACAAGAACCAAGGGGAGGAGGGGCACUGACUAUCCAAGAGGAACAAUCCCCUGACGUGACUGAGUCAUUUUUCUGCUGACAGUUGGCUCUAAUGCCAAGGAUAGCUUCAGUAAAAAGUGCCGUGAUGGCCCCGUCUUUGCCCAAUGCCUGUAAACCAAGGGAAUGAACACACUCAGCCCUGCAGGGAGAGAGGAGGACACCAAGAGGGAUCCCACUGCCAUGUGUGAUCUUCAGGUGGGAAAUUGGAGGGGCUACAUCCCUGCAUUCAGGAGGCAAGCCACCUCCAGAGCUCAUUAUUUGGGACUCUCCUUAAAUUAAAGGGUGGAUUUAAUCUAGUGUUUAAAAAUAACUCUUUCACACAUCCUUCAAGCUUGUCUACCUCAGUGUGAUUUUAGAUCCCUUUAUAUGAUUGAAAAUGGAGAUGUAGAGGA